rnacentral:tRNA from 1 species
GCGGGUAUCGUAUAAUGGCUAUUACCCCAGCCUUCCAAGCUGAUGAUGCGGGUUCAAUUCCCGCUACCCGCUCCA